rnacentral:rRNA from 1 species
CCCUUAGACGUUCUGGGCCGCACGCGCGCUACACUGACCAGUGCAACAAGCAUCCGUCCUUGGCCGACAGGCCCGGGCAAUCUUUGAACGCUGGUCGUGAUGGGGAUAGACUUUUGCAAUUUUUGGUCUUCAACGAGGAAUUCCUAGUAAACGCAAGUCAUCAACUUGCAUUGAUUACGUCCCUGCCCUUUGUACACACCGCCCGUCGCACCUACUGAUUGAAUGACUCGGUGAAAAAUUGGGACUGUGAAAACAAUUGAUUCAGUUCAAAUGUAUUCGUGGAAACUUUUUUUAACCUCGUUAUUUAGAAGAAGGUGAAGUCGUAACA